GAUGAACGCUGGCGGCAUGCCUAAUACAUGCAAGUCGUGCGAGAAGCUAUCUUCGGAUAGCGGACAGCGGCGGACGGGUGAGUAACACGUAGAAAUAUACCCCAAGGUGAGGGAUAAGCAUCGGAAACGGUGUCUAAUACCGCAUAUUAUCUAAGGAUAAAAGAUUUAUCGCCAUGGGAAUAGUCUGCGUCUGAUUAGCUAGUUGGUAGGGUAAAGGCCUACCAAGGCGAUGAUCGGUAGCUGGUUUGAGAGGAUGAUCAGCCACACUGGGACUGAGACACGGCCCAGACUCCUACGGGAGGCAGCAGUAGGGAAUUUUCCACAAUGGACGAAAGUCUGAUGGAGCAAUGCCGCGUGCAGGAUGAAGGUCUUCGGAUUGUAAACUGCUUUUAUAGUUGAAGAUUAUGACGGUAAGCUAAUGAAUAAGGACCGGCUAACUACGUGCCAGCAGCCGCGGUAAGACGUAGCGUG
rnacentral:rRNA from 1 species